GUACUGCUGAGGAGUCCCACAAUAGGACGAAACGGCUGUCCAAUAC
rnacentral:hammerhead_ribozyme from 1 species